UACGAAGGGGGCUAGUGUUGCUCGGAAUCACUGGGCGUAAAGGGUGCGUAGGCGGGGUUUUAAGUCAGGGGUGAAAUCCUGGAGCUCAACUCCAGAACUGCCUUUGAUACUGAAGAUCUUGAGUCCGGGAGAGGUGAGUGGAACUGCGAGUGUAGAGGUGAAAUUCGUAGAUAUUCGCAAGAACACCAGUGGCGAAGGCGGCUCACUGGCCCGGUACUGACGCUGAGGCACGAAAGCGUGGGGAGCAAACAGG
rnacentral:rRNA from 1 species